rnacentral:rRNA from 1 species
UACGUAGGGGGCAAGCGUUGUCCGGAUUUAUUGGGCGUAAAGAGCGUGUAGGCGGUUUGGUAGGUCCGUUGUGAAAACUCGAGGCUCAACCUCGAGACGCCGAUGGAAACCAUCAGACUAGAGUCCGGAAGAGGAGAGUGGAAUUCCUGGUGUAGCGGUGAAAUGCGCAGAUAUCAGGAGGAACACCGAUGGUGAAGGCAGGUCUCUGGGCAUUAACUGACGCUGAGGAGCGAAAGCAUGGGGAGCGAACAGG